rnacentral:rRNA from 1 species
CCUACGGGCGGCAGCAGUGAGGAAUAUUGGUCAAUGGACGCAAGUCUGAACCAGCCAUGCCGCGUGCAGGAAGACGGCUCUAUGAGUUGUAAACUGCUUUUGUACGAGGGUAAACGCAGAUACGCGUAUCUGUCUGAAAGUAUCGUACGAAUAAGGAUCGGCUAACUCCGUGCCAGCAGCCGCGGUAAUACGGAGGAUUCAAGCGUUAUCCGGAUUUAGUGGGUUUAACGGGUGCGUAGGCGGUCGGAUAAGUUGGAGGUGAAAUCCCGUGGCUCAACUUCGGAAUUGCCUCUGAUACUGUUCGGCUAGAGUGUAGUUGCGGUAGGCGGAAUGUAUGGUGUAGCGGUGAAAUGCUUAGAGAUCAGACAGAACACCGAUUGCGAAGGCAGCUUACUAGGCUACUUCUGACGUUGAGGCACGAAAGCGUGGGGAGCAAACAGGAUUAGAUACCCGAGUAGUC